ACUUAAAGGAAUUGACGGAAGGGCACCACCAGCAGUGGAGCCUGCGGUUCAAUUUGACUCAACACUGGAAAGCUUACCAGGCCCAGACAUUAGAAGGAUUGACAGAUUGAUAGCUCUUUCUUGAUUAAGUGGAUAGUGGUGCGUUGGUGGAGUGAUUUGUCUGGUUAAUUCCGAUAACGAGCGAGACUCUAACUUACUAACUAGGCGCUUGGUAUUUUUGCUACCAGCGUUUUUAUUCUUCUUAGAGGGACAAGCGGCUUUCAGCCGCACGAGAUUGAGCAAUAACAGGUCAGAGAUGCCCUCAGAUGUUCUGGGCCGCACGCGCGCUACACUGAAGGAAUCAGCGUGUGUUUCCCUGUCCGAAAGGACCGGGUAACCCGCUGAACCUCCUUCGUGCUAGGAAUUGGGGCUUGAAAUUAUUCCCUAUAAACGAGGAAUUCCCAGUAAGCGUGAGUCAUAAGCUCGCGUUGAUUACGUCCCUGCCCUUUGUACACACCGCCCGUCGCUACUACCGAUUGAAUGAUUUAGUGAGGUCUUCAGACUGGUAAUAAAUAAAUAUUGCUUAUUGCAAUUUAAGUAUUACCGGAAAGAUGACCAAACUUGAUUAUUUAGAGGAAGUAAAAGUCGUAACAAGG
rnacentral:rRNA from 1 species